CAGUUUUUGGAACUAGGAGAGUUAAAUGGAAGGAACUAAGGAUGCAUGCAAGCUCAAACACUAGCUCUGACUGCAACCGAGUCCGCAAACUAUUCUGUGGAAAAUAACCAAGGCCUUUGAUAGACCGCAACCCGUCAAACCGCCACUGAAAUGUUGUGAAGGAUGGGUGUUGAAGCGCCUAGCCGUUGCUUCAUAGCAACACGUUUCCGACGGCCUAAUGAAGUUCGUAAUUUUUAAGCAGGCGCAUUAAUGCACCGUUGUCGUCACUUGCUUGUCAUGCAUUGUACUUUGAACACCAAAAUUAUAUUUCUCCGAUGUUUGAGUAUUUCUACAGUUCUUUUAUUCCUGCAAGACCUCGUAAUCCUCUACAUGGCCCAUUACGAGCAGGAUAUAUGAAGAUCAGCGCUUAAAAUUGAAGGAAGAAAUAAUUAAGGAUCGUCAAUUAGCCGGGCGUGACAAUUAGCCGGCGUGACUUGCAGGUUUUGUGCAGGACAAUUAUUGGGACUGAUCUCAAGCAAUUUAAUUGCGGUGUAUUGCAUUUAUUAUUAUUAAUAUCAUCACCCAACACUCAGGUUGAAUACACUUGUCUCCCAGCAUGUCCGAGGAAAGGGAAUUAGUCAAGAAGCGAGGAAGCUUCAAAGGUCGAUUGACUGCUUUCGUUAACUUUCUGGAUUCACUCAAGGACAGAACCCUAACCAGUUGUGACACGGCUGAGCUGCAGCUGCGCAUAGGCAAGAUGGAGUCGUUGUAUGAGUAGUAUGAUGAGGUACAGUUACGUCUGGAAUGCAUUGUCGAGGACAUUAAAUUACAAUUUUCCGAACGUGCUGAUUUUGAGUCUCUUUAUUAUAAAUCCUUGUCUAGGGCACAGAAUAUUAUCAGUGAAUAUAAUAAAGAUAAUGGAUCGAUGGAAAGCUGUAAAAGUACUCACACUAAUGUGCAUAAGCCAGUUAAGUUGCCAACAAUUCAGUUACCUAAGUUCAGCGGUUUAUAUACGAAUUGGCUGGAAUUCCGUGACACCUUUAGUAGUCUUGUAAAUUGCAAUGAUAGCAUUGACGAUAUUAAUAAAUUCCACUACUUGAGAGCAUCUAUUGAAGGGUCGGCUGCGGUAGUUAUUAAUUCUAUUGAAUGUUCCUCGAGUAAUUAUUCUGUGGCAUGGCAGUUGUUAUGUGAUCGGUUUGAUAACAGAAGAUUACUCAUACAAAAUCAUGUGUCUGCUUUAUUUAAUGUUGAAAGUAUCACAAAGGAGUCUUCUGUUGUAUUAAAGUCUUUAAUUGAUUUAAUAAAUAAAAACUUGCGUCGCACGUAGGUAAAUUGUGUCGUGUAAGGAUAACACCGAUGGACGAUAGUGUUACUUUCGAUCUUAAUUGUUUUGUUUUGCCAUACAUUACAAGUAAUGUUCCGUGCCGUGAAAUUAAUUAUGCCGAAUUAAAUAUUCCGCUAAAUAUAACUUUAGCAGAUCCUACAUUUUGCACGCCCGCUGAGGUAGAUAUUCUCAUCUGUGCUGAUCUCUUUUGGGAUUUGUUAGGAUCACAGAGAAUAAAGCUAGGUACCGGAAAACCUGUUUUGUAUGAAACUAGUUUAGGGUGGAUAGUUUCCGGUCCAAUUAGUGAGAAUUCAAUUUCAUUGCUAUGUAAUGAUUUAAAAUGUAAUUUUUCUAAAACUGCUUCUGAUAAUAAUAAUACUGAAUUGGAACACUUUAGAUCAGAUGAAUUAGGGUUCCCUAUAAAAUUGAGUCAGCGAUCAGCCGGGUCUACUAAACGUGAUUUGUUGUCCGUGAUUACGCGAAUCUUUGACCCUUUAGGUCUAUUAGGCCCUAUUGUUGUCUCCAUGAAAAUGCUGUUACAAAUUAUGUGUUAAGAUUUAUAAAGUCAUGCCAGAAGCAGUCUCCUAAAACUAAUUAUUAGAAUUUUAUAUAAUAAAAAACAUCCUUGUUUAUUACAGUCCACUCAUCAAUUUACCAAAUUAUUAUUUUAUUUUGAGCAUAAAAGGCUUUUGCACGCUGGCCCGCAAUUAUUAUUAGCAUCGAUAAGGGAAUCUUAUUGGCCGAUAGGGGCCGCAACUUGGCGAAGGCUUGUUAUUAAAAGUGCGUUCUGUGUCGGCGCAUGAAGGGCAAGGUGGUAGCACCUAUUAUGGGUAACUUACCGCAAGAACGGCUUCGUCCAGGUUAUCCCUUCGAGAGUACAGGCGUUGAUUACGCCGGCCCUAUCUUGUGUGCCAGCCGUCAAGGCCGUGGAUGCAGGCUGGUAAAGGUGUACAUUGCCAUUUUUAUAUGUUUCACCACUAAAGCUAUUCAUUUGGCACUUGUUGGCGACUUAACGGGUAAAAGUUACUUACUGGCUUUGCAUCGAUUUAUUGCUCGUCGAGGAAAACCCGUUGAUAUCUUUCCGACAGCGGUACCUCAUUUGUCGGUGCAUACAACGAACUAUCCAAGUUUUUAAAAUCGACUAGUUCGUCAUUGAGUGAAGAUGCAGCGAAAGAUGGUAUCAGGUUCCAUUUUAUACCUUCAACAAAGUACCACCUUAAUCGAGUGUUGGGAAAUUGUAAUUUGACGUUUGAAGAGCUUUACACCGCAUUAACUAAAAUUGAAGCCGUCCUGAAUUCUCGUCCACUGACGCCGUUAUCUUCAGAUCCUGCUGAUUACAGUCCGCUCACGCCAGGACAUUUUCUUGUUGGGCGACCUCUGACUUCCAUACAGCAACCUGACUUCAGCGGUUACUCUGCCAACCGCCUAUCUCGCUUUCAACGGAUUGAGCAGCUGCGUCAGCAUUUCUGGUACAGAUGGAGUAGAGAGUACGUUGCAGAGUUACAGCUGCGGACCAAGUGGCGUUCCUCGAAGGAUGCAUUACGGCUGAACACAUUGGUCGUGAUAAAGGAAGAUAACCUUCCUCCCUUGAAGUGGAGCUUGGGACGGAUUGUGGCCGUCUACCCAGCGAAGGAUGGCAUCGCUCGAGUAGCCGACAUCCAGACAUCCACCGGAGUUGUGAGACGCGCAUUUAACAGGAUCUGUCUGCUGCCGGUGUCCUCGGAUUAAUUUGGUUGAAACCGUUGCUUUCAACGCCCGGGGGCAUGUUGAAGCGCCUAGCCGUUGCUUCAUAGCAACACGUUUCCGACGGCCUAAUGAAGUUCGUAAUUUUUAAGCAGGCGCAUUAAUGCACCGUUGUCGUCACUUGCUUGUCAUGCAUUGUACUGUGAACACCAAAAUUAUAUUUCUCCGUUGUUUGAGUAUUUC